AAGUCCUUAUGGUGAUAUCUUUGUGGAAAAAAACAACUCUUCAUGCCUUAGAGGUCAGCUGUUCAGCUUGAGCUAUGGCUGUUCCUUCUAGUUCUCUUUUUAUGCCAUGUACUGACCUGACCUGCUGACAAGACAAACCUGCGUUCCUCUGGGUUACCAAGAGGCUCAAACCCCUUCCAGGAUGCAAUGCACCAAAACACUGGCUGGCACCAUCAGCAGGAUGUUACCAUGCAACUGUUUGGUGCCCAGUCUGACAGAGGUACCUCUGCUGGCCUCCCAUUGAUGGGGAUACCAGUCCUCUUGUAGCCUGGGAAAUCUGUGGGCAGCUUCUGAAGACAGUCUCCAUCUUAAGAACCACCCAGAAGUUUGGAAGAUCUUGUGUUUGAACUGUGAUCCCUGAGGUGAGAUCAAGCUUCAUGCUAAGAGUUGGCCUCCAUUUGAUGUGAAUACUGAGAAGCUGCUGCAGGCUACCACUGAUUGGAAUUUACUUGUAUUAGUCUAAUUGCGUGCUCUGCCAUCAUCUGUUUGCAAUCACAAAGAGGAAGCUUCUGAAGCUUGGGAAUGAGGGAAAAUGAAGUGUCUUAACAACUACAAAACAUUGAGAAUGCUUUUGGAGGCUUUCCCAUCAGUUUCCAUCUGAUCCUCUGCUCUGAAGAGAAUAUCAUUGAGGAGCAGUUUGAGAUAAGCACAGGGACCAGAAGAGUAUAAAGAGCUCCUGAUGGCUGUCAGAACACAGUAGCACUUGGCCUAGAAGACAAGCUGCCUUCCAGCCACAAUCCCUCACCAUAGCUGAUGCAGCGGUGACCUCCACAGAUGGCAGCCAGCAGCAGAACCACAGUGGGACCUGCAGCGAUACAAGGGCUGGCACUUUGGAUUGCAACAUGACUGAAAGGAAAAGCGUGAAGGCUACAGGAAUUUCUGCUCUAUGGAAAAAUGUUAUUUUUGGAGUCUUCGGGAAGGCGUGCAUAUAAACCCCCGGUUCCCUGGUAUCUGCUCCAGUCAGUGCUCCAUCCUCUUGUUCUCAUCCCACAUUGUGCCUGGAUAGCCUGACGGGCCAUAGGAAGCCUUCUGCUGUUUCCAGACAUCGGGACAGUUUUGCAUCCCUGUGCCAGGUCUGUGCCCAUGUACUGGUGGCUGGGGUGGCUGCCCAGCAGGGAGACAUCCUGCUGGCACCCAGGCUGCCUUAGGGAAGAAGCUGCUGCUUCUGAUCAUCUCUGAGAUGUUGGAGCCAGCAGUUUCCUGGACAGAGAUGUCUUCUCAGCACUGUUUAAGGAGUCUCAGAGGCUGCACCAUCCUUGCACUGGCUGAACAUGACUUCUCCUCCCCAUCCACUUCAUCUUGCACCAGUACCUGCUUGUGAGAACCCUGGGAGCCAGCCACGGCGCUCACAUUGGAUCAUAAUGGGCCACAAGGUAGGAUGUCUUCCUGGAUAAAGCACUAGAUUAAAGCCCAAGAGUCAAUGUCUUCAUCCUGUCCCCCCCCAUGCCUCAUUUUAUCUGAUUAUUAGUUCAAAGUGACAUAGAAAAUCACUGUCAAUGGCAUUGGGAAAGACACUGGAAGGUUUGGUGGCAGGUAGACCUUCCCCUGCAUCAGCAGCUUCGUUCCAGAGCACAGAGGAGUAAUGAUGCCUGGCAGUCACUCCUGUGCCACACUGGUGGUCAGGAGAUCCACAUCCUGCAGCUGUCAAAUGAAUCUGUAAAGCAGAGGGAGGGUCACAAGAUUCUGUUGCUUUGAGGAAUCACAGCUUUGUUUUCCAACCCCAAGAAGUCCUCAGAAACCUACCUCUGGAGGAGCAGUGGCCUAACCUCCCCCAUCUUCUCUACAGCAUUCAUUGAGUGCGUACAGCAGUUAAGGAACUUCUGCCCUCAGUCAUCCUGGACAGAAGCGCGGGGUUGGAGCAGUUUUGAGGUGUGACAGCAGGGGAACCUCCUCAGAGGCUGGUCCUGUCCCCAUGUGCCAUUUGUCCUCUCCUAGAUGCCAGUAGCAGGGACGGGA